UGGGGAAUAUCGGACAAUGGGCGAAAGCCUGAUCCAGCCAUGCCGCGUGAGUGAUGAAGGCCCUAGGGUUGUAAAGCUCUUUUGUGCGGGAAGAUAAUGACGGUACCAGAGGAAUAAGCACCGGCUAACUCCGUGCCAGCAGCCGCGGUAAUACGGAGGGUGCGAGCGUUAUCCGGAUUUACUGGGUUUAAAGGGUGCGUAGGUGGGCUUAUAAGUCAGUGGUGAAAUCUCCGAGCUUAACUUGGAAACUGCCGUUGAUACUAUAGGUCUUGAAUUAUCUGGAGGUAAGCGGAAUAUGUCAUGUAGCGGUGAAAUGCUUAGAUAUGACAUAGAACACCAAUUGCGAAGGCAGCUUACUACAUAUAAAUUGACGCUGAGGCACGAAAGCGUGGGGAUCAAACA
rnacentral:rRNA from 1 species